UAUUAAAUCCGCGGUCCUUAAAGUGAGAAAAAAAGAAACCCAUCGGGAUCUCCUCUCUCUCCCUCGCCUCAGCCGCCAGGAGCGGCGGUCGAUCCGGUGCCGCGCCGGCCGCGGGCCGCCGGCCGGUGCCGGCGAGCGUCCGCGCCUUCGGAGUCUUCCUCUGCGCCUUUCUGCAUGGGGACGCGUUCGGAGGAGCUCGCUGCCAGGUUGGCGGCCGGGGGCCCCGGUGGCGUCGGCGGACCAGCAGGAGGAGGAUGCGGGGAGGGGCAGCACGAGCGGGUGGUCGCGCUCCGCGAGAUCAAGAACCAGACCUUCGGGAACCAGACCAAGAAGCUCCUCUACCUCCACCUGGGUGCCGUGUUAGUGGUCGUCACGGCGCGUCACCAGCCAUGCUCGUCCAUGAGCGGCCGUGGCGGAGUACUUUGCUUGCGGCGUAGACGAUGGCGCGCAUGCCGUGCUUGCUGCUGGAGCCGUGGGGCACCUCCUCGCCCACCCCGACAACAAGAAGAGCUGGUGGGAGGAAAUGGGUGGCUACCCAGCAACUGCUUGCUGGUUGCGCCAAUUUGGGGCUUGCUAGCAAUUGUGCUUGUCCCUGAACUAUAGACCAAAAAGAGACAAUGCUAACUUAAUGAAUGUUUUGUGUGGGAAUUAGUCUGUACAUUAGCCACAACCGGAUCCAGAUUGAGGUUGGCGGUUGAUACCAACGCCGUCCUGGAUGGCGUGCUCGAGAUCGAAGGCGGGGAACUCCAGAAGGCAGACGGCGGCAUUGCCUCAGUUGUAGCUGCAUGGGGAAGAGGAGGGGUGGAGGAGUAGACGCUGCAUCUCCAUCCGCCGUGAUGGGAGUGAUGGCGCCGGCGCUCGCCGUGUCCGCCGUCAGCUCCAUCUUGACGAUGUUAUCCUCGAUUGGAAGUUCGAGCGCCGUCACAACAGGACUUACUCCACCCCUUCUCCCUCCCCAUUCCCUUCCCCUGGGGGUUAAUUGAAGUAUUUAUAUUUCCGUAUUAGUGUGGUUCAACUUGCUAUUGGGCAUAUGGUGUGUUUUCUGAAUUUUGGUCUGAAAGAUGAUUUUGUGAGUUCAAGCUUUUGUGCGAUUCCUGAUGUUGUGUUCCUGCCAAAUGACAUAUGUCCUGCACUGAAUUUUUCUGACGCUAUAAUCAUGGCAGGAGCUUUGUACUGGGAAAGCAUGUCAGAAUUAUCUAGAAUUGAUGGACUUUAGUUGGUGUUUGUUUGCUGGAUGGAAUUAGAUUUGUGGAUAUAUCAGUUUAUGGGUGGCUACUUGAUUGGUGAAUUCACCUGCUAUAUGAACACUAUUUUUAAUAAAUGGUGUGCAUCUAGAGAUGUAUAAGAACAAGUUUGAGGAUAAAGAUUCAUAUAAAGAAUUAUGUAAAAAAUUGUGAUUCUUAAUAUCUUGAGAACUAGCGUAUAUUUUUUCCACUACAUUAGCCUUCAGAUUUUUCUUGGAUUUGCUUUCUGCACUAAUGUUUUCAGUACCAUCCUUCUUCCGCGAUGCUGCUGCAUGCCAGGAUUCGCAGUGGCACCGCCGCAGCCAGCGAGGACACAAGCUCACGAGGAUUGUUGCCGCUUCGGAGGACAUGGGAGCUGCCAUAGCCAGCGAGUACGUGAGCGCACGUAGGCACCAUCGCUUUCGAGGAUGCGAGAGCCAUCUCAGCUUGAGAGAAUGCGCAUACCAUCUCCAGUGUGUGCAACAAGUGUUCCUCUAAACGUCUGAGCGUAAAGACUACUCAUGGGUGAUGCUUCUGUGACCAGACCUCUAUGUAUGUCCUUUGCGGCCUUUCCUAUAAAUAAAUUAUAAGUAUAUGUCAUAUUAAUUGUGUACUUCUCUAUUAGAAAAUCACAAGAUAGUUUCAGUGUUGUUGUUCUCAAUCAUGUUACCCUUAAGUGCAAGACAUCAAUUUGCUCUUAAGUAAAAGGGAAAUUUGAGCAGGAAAGGUAAGCAAUUCGAAGCAAGCUCCCGAGAUAAAUUUUCUUUUGGUUUAGCUAACGAAUGCCUUGGUAUAGGUCUAAUCUCUCCUUCCUAGAGAUGGUUCUUUCUUAUUUCUUUUACGGGGACUUACUUUUGUUUCUUUAAUUAGGAUACCUUCACCUGGUAUUUUUUGUUUUAAUUAAUGAAUAUAGAUCAGUUGCAUUGUUUUGUCUCAACCAAGCUAGCCGUAUAGUAGAAAUUCAGCAUGCACACAAGGUGAUCUGGUUGAGUUUUACUAGGUAACCGUACCAUUGUUGUCUGCAUGCUGAAAAGCUUAUGGGUAUGUACUGAAACUAAAUUAUACUCCCUCCGACCGGAAAUACUUGUCAUUGAAAUAGAUGUAUCUAGAUGUAUUUUAGUUCUAGAUACAUCUAUUUUCAUCCAUUCUGAUGACAAGUAUUUCCGGACGGAGGGAGUAGUUGUUAAGGAUUAUUUGCAGACAGGUCAAGACCGGAAGAUGUCAUCAUUAUCCCUAAACUGAGAUGUCUUCAGGAUUGGAAAUGUCACGAAGGCCCCCGUACAAUUAUAGGUACCAACAUAUAAAAAUCCAAGAAUUUCCCGCUAAGAGACACUCGACAUGCAAACUUAAAUCAUGCUAGAAUUCGUCAAAUACCAUGUUUAACCUGAAUUAGUUACUUGACAUGUGCCUAUCUUCUUCUUUUUCCAAAUUAUGUGUUCAAUUGUUCAUCAUAUUAUUGAUGGAAUUAAUUUUGCAUCGAUUGUUUGCACCACUUGAUAAUUACAACGAAAGUUAUGGAUGUCCAAUCUGGUUGUUUGUCUACUACUAAAGCUUGUACAUAUUUGCUUAAAUUUGAAUACAUGUCAAAAAAAUCUCCCGUUGCCACACACACAUCCGUGGCAAUUGUUGAAAGCUCUAAAUGCUUCACUCUUUGUUCUGAUGCUUAGGGAUAUUGGGUAGAAUCCAGUGUCACUCAUGAUCCUGGUUUAAUAGAGGAACUGAAUUGAUCAUGAUUUUGAAUGUCAAAUGUCACACAGGGAAGGGCCUGAACAUGAACUUACUUGGUAAUGCCCAUUUGUGUAGAUCGGUAGCCUGUGGCAUCUAUUUUGUCCAAUCGUCCGCCACGAACAAAUUUCCUUUGUUGGGUGCUGGUGGUUCUACUUCCAAUGUUUUUGUAGGACAUUGCUCGGUUAGUAAUGACUUUGAAUGUAAAGCGUGCUAUGAAGUACAUGAUGCGCUGUGUAGUUCCCUCAAUUACGUGAAGAAGAAGAAUGGCAACAAAGACUUAUGGUUUUGUUCGAUCCUACACUUAAAGAAAAUCAUACUGAAGAUCUGAGCUUAAGUGUUCCAACAGCUGAAGCACCAGCUCAAGAUGAAGGGAAUCUCUUAAUAUGAUUGUAGAUCCAUUCCCAUAAAGUGCAGUUAGAAUAUGGAAUCCACCUCGAACUCGGUUUAAAAAACAGAAAGCAUAUGGAAUUUUGCUCUAUCAGGUAGCAAUUUGGUUGUUCAAUCCAUCCAUAGUUACAUUUGAAGAUAUAUUGUUGAAUUUCCUUAUUUUGUGAAUACAAGUCUGAACUUUUAGGACAUCUGGCACAUGAGUUUGAACCAUCCAAUUAUAGUGCUACUAAUUUUGGGUCACUACAUCAUGCAAUACUAUGGAUGCUGUUUAACAUGGCAAAGUUGGAUUUUUUUAUUCUUUUUUCAGAUUAGAAUCACUUUAGCAAUGCCAUAUAGAUAAUACAAGAUGUGGCAAAGUGUUGCAUUCAAUAGAGAUUACAGUGAUAAAUUGGUGAAAUUAGUUUGCUCUCUGAUCUCUGUUAGCUUUAACUCGCUAGGAAGCCAUGUAGUCCUAUUUUUAGUACUAGGAGGAGAACGUAUAUUAAAUAUAUGCCAUCCAGGGAAUUGAUCUCUGUUGUGCUGGGGCAAACUAAGCCAGAGCAAGCACUUACUCAAGGCAAGGAGCAGUGCUCGUACUUGCUCAUGGUUGAGGUAGAUUCAGGUUAAAUUUUAUGUGUUGAUUCCCUUCUCUUUCACAUGUCUAGGUCUUUAUGCCUGAUCAAGCUGUUCUUUGACAAGUAUUAUCUUUGAGUGAUGCCAUGUUGGUAAUAAAAUACUAUAUAACUCACAUUUCUUAUAUGUUCCUUUUUCAUUUUUGUCCUUUCAUUUGAAAGCUCAUAUGGUCAAUUUUGGAGGCGACUACGUGUAUAUACUGCUGAUGUUACAUGUAAACAAAUUCGAUGCUUUCAUGCGUUUGACCGUGCACAUCACCGAACCCUUUCCAUUCUAUUGCAAGGUCAAAUAGUUUUUCGUGUUCUAACUCUUUGGGAUAGUCUGCAGUUAUUUGGUUCAUCGUCGCGCCUCAAGUUUCCAACAACGCCGUGGCUGUACACCGUCGACUUCGCCGGAAAUCCUUCUGCACAUACUCUACUGUCCGCCGAAACUUUGUCUGACCUGAGUUAUUUGGCUCAUCUUCACGCCUCAAGUUUCCGACAGCGCCGUGGCUGUACACCGCCGACUUCGCCGGAAAUCUGUCUGCACAUACUCUACUAUCCGCCAAAACUUCGUCUGACCUGAGCUGAUGGGGAUGAGAUGUGACCCCGCUGCUGGGCGUCGCAAAUGCCACUGCUCCAAUGUGUGCCCCAGCUUCGGUGAUGUACGGGCGAGGCAACACGAUUUGGAGCAGUGACCCUCCUUCCAAGAAAUCAAGUUUUUUCGUUCAGAUUUUAGAGCUCGAGUUUCAGCUUAGUUCAAGGAUAGAAAAGCAUAGUCCUUAUGGAUUCAACAAGGAAGACCAUUAGCCGCCACCUUUUCAGAAUUGGAUGGUGUGGUGCACCUUCAUCCUGCUGUCCAAUUCCUUAGCUUAUUUGCUUUAACUGUACUACAGUUAUAUAGCAGGAUAAGGAUCCAAUCUUGUGAUGCCUCUCCAUUUGCACCAUCGUCAAAAGUUGCACAUGAGUUGAUUCAGACUUUCAGAAUUCAUAGAACACCUAGAGUUAAUCGGCCUGAAGGUAUAUCAUAUCCUAAGGGAAGGGGACCCGGUUCAGAUUUGUCACUACUAUGUGCUGUUGGAUAGCCAUGGUAUGUAUUAGUUUUGUUUUACCACAGUUUGAUUCUUGGGAGUUGGGAUAUCAGGUGUAUACAUUACUUUUCUUAUGAAUUUGUUCUCUUUUAGUGCACUAUCUAUCUAUCUAAUCUAUCUAUCGAACUUUGCAAAGAAAUAGAUGGCGACGACUCAGCGGCGUCGUGGUGAAUGGCGAAGCUUCUCAAAUGGACGGAAGAGAGGUGGUGACGCGCGGCUGGGAGACGUACAUAUUUAAUGAAAUACGAUUCAUAAGGUUUCAUAUUAACAAAAAAUGAUGGUCUUUGUAGAGUAAUAUGAACAUUUUGUUGAUUCCAGGACAACUUUAUUCUCCAAUACGAAUCUGUAAGAAAAGAUAUGACAUACAUUUGUGCAAAUUGAUAAUGCUUUUCUGUUGAAAAAACAGGAUAUGUAGGAAAUGAAAUGGUGUUUCAUAAUUCAUUGGAUGUAGACCAGUAGGGUCAAUUACAAAUUGUUGGCUGUAAAUGACUUUCAGUUUCUAGCUUUCAUAAAAUUUAGACAUGUACUCUUUAACAGUAUGUUGUGGUUGAUGGUGGUCCUAUGUGCUGGUUCAAAUGAUCAUGUUGGAUAAUAUUGCUUUUACUAGCAGUUGCAGUGCUCUUAUUAUUUUAUUUCCACAAAUAUCACCAUGUUUUGCUAUUGAUGUAAUGCUAUAUUCCUUGACUGAAAUCAAACCCUUUAGUUGC